rnacentral:rRNA from 1 species
GUCUUGUAGAAUAAUAAUAUCAGGUUUACUCUGCCCAUUGAAUAUAAAUUUUAAAAGGCUGCAGUAUAUUGACUGUACAAAGGUAGCAAAAUCAAUAGUUUUUUAAUUGGAAACUGGAAUGAAAGAGUUGAUGAAAUAUAAGUUGUCUCAAUUUAAUUAUUUGAAUUUAAAUUAAAAGUUAAAAUGCUUUUAUAUAAUUAUUAGACGAGAAGACCCUAUAGAAUUUUAUAAAAUUUAUUUUUUAAAUUAUUUUUGUUUUUAAAAUUUAUUAAAUAAUUAUAUUUUACUGGGAGGGUAAUUAAAUUUAAUUAACUUUAAUAUAAUUAAACAUAGAUAAAUGAAAUUUUUGAUUAUUAUUAUAAUUAUUAGAAUAAAUUACCUUAGGGAUAACAGCGUAAUAAUUUUGGAGAGUUCAUAUCGAUAAAAUUGUUUGCGACCUCGAUGUUGAAUUAUGAUAAAAAUUAAAUGGAGAUAUUUAAAAUUUUAGUCUGUUCGACUAUUAAAAUCAUACA